rnacentral:rRNA from 1 species
UACGGAGGGUGCAAGCGUUAUCCGGAUUCACUGGGUUUAAAGGGAGCGCAGGCGGAUUGGUAAGUCAGUGGUGAAAGGCUUGAGCUUAAAUCGGGAACUGCCAUUGAUACUAUCAGUCUUGAAUAUUGUUGAGGUUUGCGGAAUGGGUCAUGUAGCGGUGAAAUGCAUAGAUAUGACCCGGAACACCUAUUGCGAAGGCAGCAGGCUAAACAAAGAUUGACGCUGAGGCUCGAAAGCGUGGGGAUCAAACAGG